rnacentral:lncRNA from 1 species
CUUAAUGGUUCAAUGCCCGGUACCCCAAAAAAAAAAAAAGUUUCUUGACUCUUUCUUAUCCCUCCCUAUGAUACCGCGAGUUAUUGGUGAGGAGUUCUGUUUCCUCACAUGCUGAAGUUUGAACAUUAGAGAAGCCCAGAGGCAAGCAUAUAAAGCAGGGUUUGUUUUAAAAGGGUAACAUAGACUUCUGAGAGGGAGAAGGGGGCUAUGGCUAGUAUCCUGGUAUCCCAAGAAGCAAGGUGUUCUGCCCUUUUUAUGUCUUAAACAUCCUUUGUUCUCUGGCCCUUUCCCCUUAUCCCUCUCCUUCCUGCCUAUGUGACUAGGCCCAGGAAAUGCUGCACAGUGGGGUGGCCAAAAAGGUGGAAAACAGGUGGGCUGAAAGGGGAAGUGCAAGACAGAGCAGCCCAGGACACAUUAAUUAACAAGCUAUGACUCCCUGUAGAGAGGGGCAAUGCCUGAGACAGGUUACCCUGUGCAACAGGCUGGAGCAGGGGCAUGUUUUUGAUAAGGGUGGAGGUAGAGCUCUGAAAUAAUUAACAUUUCAAUCCUUCAGAGGACAGUCUCGAACUUGCUGGACUCACUCAAAAUUGGCCUCCAUGAUCCAACCUGACUCUAUUUGCCUAUCAGUACUGACUGCCUGUCUAAUUCUGGCUUCACCUGUGCCACACUGCUUCAUUCUCUGAUCAGCUUUCUGUCACCAGAUUGGUUUGCACCUUCUAGAAUAGUAUAUAAAUGGAAUCAAACAGCAUACACUAUUUUUUUAUCUGCCUUAUUUCAGUCAGCAGGGUUGAGACUCUUCCACGUUGUUGUAUAUGUCAGUAGUUCCUUCCUUUUUAUUGCUGAGUAUAUUUAUACAAUUGGUGUAAAUAUACUCAGCAAUAUUGGACCUUUUGGUUUCCAGUUAUUCGGUUAAUAGAAAUGAGCCAGGGCAAAUGACAGGUAGCUGAUUAUCAAAAAAAGGACAUGGAUAGAUAGCCUUCCUCAUCCAUCCUUGCUAACACCUCCAGCAGAGGGGAAGGAUCCACUUUCCAAAACAAGUGAUUACCCUCUGGGCAGCUGUUUUCCUGCUUUUGGUCACAGCAGGCAAGGUAAGAGAAGAGGGCUUGAAAAACAGAAACCUAAAGUCUAUAAAGGGGCAAGACACACUCCCUCCCAUAGGCAUCAGCUCUGAGUCCCUAGUUCUCUCCCUUGGGGUCUACUCUCUCUCUCUCCCUCCCUGCCAUCCCCCACCCUUCUUUGUUCUGUAUUUUAAAUAAGAUUUGCUUUCUAUGUUUGCCUCAGUGUUUCUCAGGUGUUUAAUCCUCAACACUAGGGGAACAAGGACCUGAGCCUGAUUUUCAAGACUGGUCUCAGAAAUAAAGCUGCUAUGAACAGUAAAGUAUAUGAGGAAGACUUGUAAACUUUUGCUUCCAUUUCUUUUAGAUUCUUACCUAAGAAAAGAAUGACUGGCAUAAUAUAUAUAUAUGCCUUGUGCAUCUUUCUUGGAUCUAAUAUGAAUGGUGUAUUUUCUAAUUGUUGUUAAUAUAUAGAAUACAAUUGAUUUUUCUUAUGUUAAUGCUUUAUCUUGCAGUCUUGCUAAUUGUACUUAUUAAUUAUAUUACUUUUUUUGUAGAAUCCUAGAAUCCGUAGUAUUUUCUACAUAAACCAUUAUGAGAACUAUGAAUACAGUAUUUUUAAAAUAUUUUUUAGUUCUCAAUGGACCUUUAUUUAUUUAUGUGCAGGGCUGAGAAUUGAAUCCAGUACCUCACACAUGCUAGGUAAGCACUCCACUACUGAACCACAACCCCAACCCUGAAUAUAGUAUUUUUUAUAGAUGUAAUUUAUCAAUCUUGAGGAAGUUCCCCAGCAAGUUUCCUCUUUUUCUAGCCUGAUGAAAUUUGUUUUUAUUAGAAAUGAAUGUUUAUCAAAUGCUGAAUCUGCAUCUAUGCAGAUUAUUACCCUUUUUAUAGUUUAUUAAUGAUGAAUUAUACAGAUUUUUUCAAAUGUUAAACCAAUCUUGUAUUAUUCAUAUAAAUUCU